rnacentral:lncRNA from 1 species
AUUUUUGUAUAAUUUUCAGUUCUUAAAAAUUAUUUUAAGAAAAUAUAUGUUGAAAGUUAAAACAGAUGGUUGGGUUUUUUUUUUGUUUUGUUUUGUUUUGUUUUGAGGAGAGAGGAAGCCAAAAAAUGUCACCCCACAUAUUAGAUUCUGGAUAUGCCACUGCCAUCAUAAUCCUCAGAGUAGUCUCCUUGGAAAUUGAUGCAAUAAUCCCAGCAAUUCUUAUGCCAUUAUUUGAAUGCUUUCAGAAAGUUCUCUUCGUUCAUGCUGUUCAGCACAAUCCUGAUUUUUCUUCCUGAAUCUCGGUUGUCCCAAAUCUCUGUUCUUUGAGCUUUGCCUUCAUUCUAAAGGUGAUAAAACAUCACAGAUGGUGAAAUCAGGAAAAUAGGAAGGGCAAAGAAUGGUAACCAUAUUGUUUCUGACCAAAAAUUCCUGUACUUUGAUGUGUAAACUGCAAUAUUAUCAUUUGUGGAUUAUCCAGUUUCCAGUAAUCCACAACUCUGAGCAUUUGAGCUCAUAUAGUGCUACAAAUACUUUAGCAUUGUGGAACAAAUUCCUGCAGAAAAUUCCUUUAUGGUCAACAAACAGAAUCAACGUUUACUUCACAUUUGUUUGACUUGUUGCACUUUAUUGGGGCAUGGAGAUAAUGGACUUUUUCUAUUGUAAUGACUAUUCUGGGCCUAUAAAUUCAGCUUUCAUACCUAGUAAUUACGCAUUUCAAAAAGUUCACAAUCAGCAGUCGUCAUGUCUUUGAGGUCUUGGCAGAUUUGCAUUCAUAGUUUCUUUUCCUUAGCUAUCAGGAUGUAUGAUACCAAAUUUGAUUGCAGUUCAUUUCAUGUUCAAUACAUCAGUCAAAAUACCUUGAAUUGAGCCAUACCUGAUGUUAAGCUUUUUAGCAAUAUUCAAAAUGCCUUGCCAACAAUCUUCAUGAAUUAAUACAUAUACUUUAUUGAAUUUUCAGGAUUAUGCUUGUCGAAGGGCAUCCUGUCUAUUCGUUGUCUUCAAGUGUUUCUUGGCCAUGUUUGAAAUGUCUGCACCAUUCACAGAUUAGUGUUUUGCCUAAAACACAAUCACUGAAUGCCUACUUGAAGCAAUUUCUAUGUUUUUGUAUCCUGUUUUUUAUCAAUUUUGACACAAUUUGAUGCAAAGUUUUUCAUUCAUUUUCAAUGAGGAGGAAGUUAUACAAUACAAUGUUACCUCGCAAUUAGACACUAAUUCAUUACUGUACUAAUGCCCAAUUAAGAACUGUCAAAUUGCGAAACAAUAUUUCAAAAUAUGAGACUUUGGAAGAUAGAUUGGGUUCGACAAUGAAUUAAUCUCGUCCCCCCAAAUGGAGAGGUGAAAGAGAGUAAACUAUAUUAUUUACUUUAUGUAUUUUACUAUUAUAUAACACACUAAAUUAUAAAAUUACACUAUUUUAUAUGCAAUACAGACACUAUUAGCUCUUGGAUGUUGGAAUGAAGUCUUCUUUCUCCUGUUCUACUUUUGAAUCUAUGAAAUCAACCUUGCUUGCUUUAACAUAUAUUAUAUUUCACAUAUAAUAUAGGAAUCUAUUAACAAGUAUAGUAAAAAUGAUCAAAAAUCUGUAUAUUAAUAUUAUCAUUAAAUUUGAUAAUUUUGUUAGCCUAAAAGAUGACAGGAAACUCCUAGCUUUGUAAUACAGUUCUUAAUUUUAUAAAUUUUAUUAGUCCAAAAAUUAGUGGAAUUUAAAAAAAU